rnacentral:lncRNA from 1 species
UUAUUUUAUAUAUUUUUCUGUGGCAUUAAAUUCAAGUAAUUUGAAUUGCCAAUCCAACAGUCGAUGUGUGGAAGUGCAGAUCUGACUUUUAAAAUGUUGGUUAGAACACGGGACUAAUAUGAAGUUAGGCCAUAAAAAUUUUGGGACUGGUUUGGCAUUUUGAUGAACUGUAACAGUAACAGGCUCUUCUUUUUCACAUGUUCUUCCUCCCUUGUGGUGGGGGGAGACAUUCCAUGGCGUUUGUUGAUGGCAGCGGACUUGUGACCUAACCCCCUCCCCCUCGCCCCUACCAUUCAUUCAUUCAUUCAUUCUCGGUCUUGUUUUUUGGCGCUGUUAUUUGUUUUCCGGUUUUUACUCUCUAAUCACUGGGCCCGUUAUAUAGUAGGUGGAUCUUUUUGGCAUUUUAUAUUGAUGAAAAUAAUUUGUUUCCGUGGUGGAAAUUGGUGGCAUGUUACUGGCGGGCCCACCCAUUCUCUAUUGAGAAGCGGGACAUUGUUGUUUGGCAGAGAAUCCGAGGCAAAGGCGGGAUUCACUUUUAUCCACGUGGCAGUGAUCAGAGUUAGUUAUUAGGUGUUUAUGAAGCUGGUUUAUUUUAAUUACUUCUUUUUUGGGCCCCUCUUUCUUCAUUGGCUUGCUUUUUUAGCAAGGAAACAAAGUUGAAGGGGAAAGCAGCGUGACGUGGCCGCUUUGGGCAAAAGCGACCCUUGGUUUGGUAAAGCAACGUUACAGCUGGACAAAUGGGUGUUUUUUUAUAGGAAAAUAAUAUGCGUUGUGUCAAAGCCUCCAUGCUCGCUCAAUCCUAUACACAUUCGUUGAGCC